UUAUAACAAUUAAUUUUCAUAAUAAUUCGACAUACAAUUGAUGUGCAAACUAAACCCAAUUUCUCUUUCUCCCACAGUAAGAUGUAUUAGAUGUACCGUAGCCAAAACAUGUUUCGUGUAGAACUGCUGCGGAAGCUGGUAUUCAAGAUCUAAUCAAAUCAUCAAAAUAUUUUCUUAGCAUGGUGGCAUGUAUUGUAUUUCAUUUCAUAAAUGUGGUGGUGAAUGGUGAACAGCAACCCUUUGGAUUGAAUUCCAUUAAUCCACUAACCUUAAUCCAUUAUCCACAGGAAACUUGCCCUUAAUCCUCCAAGUUGGAUCCGCCGAAGAUCGUCGCUAUCGUGACGUCGACACGGAAAUGAACGGCCGUUUCAUCACCUCCA